rnacentral:tRNA from 2 species
GGCGAGAUAGCUCAGUUGGUAGAGCACACGACUGAAAAUCGUGGUGUCCUCGGUUCGAUUCCGAGUCUCGCCA